rnacentral:rRNA from 1 species
CCUACGGGAGGCAGCAGUGAGGAAUAUUGGUCAAUGGCCGUAAGGCUGAACCAGCCAAGUCGCGUGAAGGAAGAAGGAUCUAUGGUUUGUAAACUUCUUUUAUAGGGGAAUAAAGGUAUCCACGUGUGGAUAUUGGCAUGUACCCUAUGAAUAAGCAUCGGCUAACUCCGUGCAAGCAGCCGCGGUAAUACGGAGGAUGCGAGCGUUAUCCGGAUUGAUGGGGUUUAAAGGGUGCGUAGGUUGUUGUUUAAGUCAGCGGUGAAAGUUUGUGGCUCAACCAUAAAAUUGCCGUUGAAACUGGAAGACUUGAGUGUGUUUGAGGUAGGCGGAAUGCGUGGUGUAGCGGUGAAAUGCAUAGAUAUCACGCAGAACUCCGAUUGCGCAGGCAGCUUACUAAGCCAUAACUGACACUGAAGCACGACAGCGUGGGGAUCAAACAGGAUUAGAUACCCCUGUAGUC